ACUUUCAUAUUGCAAUACGGCCAUCGUGUUUGAACACGUUGAAGCGAAAUUAAGUGUUUUUUGUUUGGUUAACCAAGUAUGAAAGACGGGUCAUCUUAAAAUGUUUUUCAUGUAGAGUGUUUGACUCUCGUGUAGAGAUUUGAUUCAAGGGCUCUAUUGAUUUCUAUUGGACAUAGCAAAACCUUUAGUUAAUGUGUGUACACAGUGAAAACCCUUGUGUCGUAGGAUCGAGAGAACCACACAUCAAGCAAACUCAAUUCACAUGUAGUGCUCGCAAGGUUGAGGUGACCCGACCAUUUUGACUCACAGCGGUGAAAGACGUACGACGCGUUUAAUUAUGUAGCGUCCGCCACCCAUGUGCUAUAAAUGGCUGUCCUGCUCGCUUCGAUGGCACAGUUCCCUUAAAUUGUUAUUUUAUGCAAACCCUGGCACAACUUUAUGUCUUUAUGACUUUGCUGGAGUGCCUCAACCUCAACGGUCUGUACCACCAUGGUCAACACAAGUCCUUUGCUGAUGGAGUCAACUGGCAAGACUGGAAAGGAUACAACUACUCCGCUAAGAGAGCUGAGAUGAAAAUAAGACCUGCAUAAAAUCGCAACCAAAUCCUUGGCUAUUUACCAUUUACUUGGCUCGGAUUAGAUUUCACCGAAAAGAACCGCAUUUUGUUAAAUUCCAUUGGAAUUACAUGACAAAAGGGGUAACAGGAACGCAUUAUUCAGUUGUUUACAUCAAAAGAAAGUAAUUUGAUGGGGGGAAAAUGUGUAGAUUGAAAAAAGYGAAAAUAAAACACUCUAGCAUGGAA